rnacentral:rRNA from 1 species
UCGACCUCAGAUCAGGUGGGACUCCCCGCCGAAUUUAAGCAUAUUAGUAAGCGGAGGAAAAGAAACUAACAAGGAUUCCCCUAGUAGCUGCGAGCGAACAGGGAGUAGCCCAGCACUGAAUCCCAAAGGCUCGGCCUUUAGGGAAAUGUAGUGUUUAGGAGUGCCCGAUCAACCCGGGGUCUGUGCACCGCGUUCAAGUCCAUCUUGAACGGGGCCACGGUCCGCAGAGGGUGCCAGGCCCGUAGACGACCGGUGCCGGCCUCGGGUGGGCCCCUCCUUAGAGUCGGGCUGCUUGAGAGUGCAGCCCUAAGAGGGUGGUAAACUCCAUCUAAGGCUAAAUACAACCACGAGACCGAUAGAGAACAAGUACCGUGAGGGAAAGUUGAAAAGAACUUUGAAGAGAGAGUUCAAGAGUACGUGAAACCGCUCAGGGGUAAACGGAAAAGACCCGAAGCCCCGAAAAGGGAGAUUCACGUCUUCUCGCCGGGUCCGCACCCCGAUUGGGGGGAUGGCCUUUCGCCCCGUCCGGCUCGUCCGUGGCGGUGGGUUGGCCGCCCCCCGCUGGGUAGCGCUCCCGCGGGGGACCGCACUUCUCCCUCAGUAGGACGUCGCGACCCGCUCUGCGGCGGUCAAAGGUCCGGAAGAUUGCCUGGCUCGGGGCCUCCACUUGUGGCGGUCAAGUGUCAGCUCUCCGGCACCGCGGCCGCCGGUCCGGGCGGUAUCGAAAGACUACGGCGCUGGGCCGCUCAACUAGCGAGCGCCGCCGUCUCCCCGCAAGACCGGGCGUUUACCAGGGGGUGCCUUAACGGACACGCCCGGCUAGGAGCUCGGGCCCCUGGCGGGUGAGCACUCCGGCACGGCCCAGUCCGCCAGUCUGCGGCGCUUCAGAUUCGGGAACUUAUCCGACCCGUCUUGAAACACGGACCAAGGAGUCUAGCGUGUGCGCGAGUCAUUGGGUGCAAAACCUAAAGGCGCAAUGAAAGUGUCAGGGGCUGCCUCCAGGGCUCCCCGUAGGGAGGAUGGGCACCGCGCGGCACGCUCGCCGGGGCCCCGCACUCCCGGGGCGUCUCGUUCUCGCCACGAGUGGAGACGCACCAGGAGCGCACACGCUGGUACCCGAAAGAUGGUGAACUAUGCCUGGCCAGGACGAAGCCAGGGGAAACCCUGGUGGAGGUCCGAAGCGAUUCUGACGUGCAAAUCGAUCGUCUGAGCUGGGUAUAGGGGCGAAAGACCAAUCGAACCAUCUAGUAGCUGGUUCCCUCUGAAGUUUCCCUCAGGAUAGCUGGCUCUCGGGAAGAGACGAGUCUCAUCCGGUAGAGCGAAUGAUUAGAGGUGAUGGGGUCGAAACGACUUCAACCUAUUCUCAAACUCCCAAUAGAUGAGAGCCCCGGCUUGCUUAAAAGUGAAGCCGCGGGACUCGGAUCAGAGAUGCCAAGUGGGCCAAUUUUGGUAAGCAGAACUGGCGCUGUGGGAUGAACCAAACGCUGAGUUAAGGCGCCUGAUUCGACGCUCAUUUGAAACCAUGAAAGGCGUUGGUUGCUUAAGACAGCAGGACGGUGGCCAUGGAAGUCGGAAUCCGCUAAGGAGUGUGUAACAACUCACCUGCCGAAGCAACUAGCCCUGAAAAUGGAUGGCGCUGUAGCGUCGUGCCUAUACUCUGCCGUCAGCGGCAAAGCGGGCCGCCCCCCCCCGGGGGGCUUCUCCGUUAAUCCCUGACGAGUAAUAGGGUCGCGGCGGUGUGCGCGGAAGGGUCUGGGGGUGAGCCCCCCUGGAGCCGCCGCCGGUGCAGAUCUUGGUGGUAGUAGCAAAUACUCCUCCGAGGCCCUGGAGGACUGAUGUGGAGAAGGGUUUCUUGUGAACAGCUGUUGCACAAGAGUCAUUCGAUCCUAAUCCCUACGAGAAAUCCUAAGAAAAUGGUUGCCGUUAAUACUGACUGACUGUGUGUGACGGGAGCGGGGAUACCCGCCCCGCCCACAUACCUAUCGGGCAGGCACCGAUCGGGCGAAAGGGAAUCCGGUUCCUAUUCCGGAACCCGGCGGCGGAACCGCUCCAAUUCUGGCCCUCAUCCGAGGACUCUUCGGGGUGACCCCAAAUGACCCGGAGAAACCGUAGGGAGGUCCGCGGAGAGUUGUCUCUUCUCUAUAAGCGUUCUAGUUCUCUGGAAGCCUCUAGGAGGGAGAUAGGGUUUGUAACACGAAGAGAACCGCACUUACGGCGGUGUCCGGAUCUUCCCCUCGGACCUUGAAAAUCCGGGCGAGGGCCACGGGGAACACCGCGCCGGCUCGUACCCAUAUCCGCAGCAGGUCUCCAAGGUGAAUAGCCUCUAGUCGAUAGAAUAAUGUAGGUAAGGGAAGUCGGCAAACCCGAUCUGUAACCUUGGGAUAAGGAUUGGCUCUGAGGAUCGUGGCGCGCCGGGCUUGGUCGGGAAGUGGAGCGGUGCCAACGUGCCGGGCCUGGGCGAGGCGAAGGGCGUUCGCCGCCCGGACCCUAGCUCGGUCCC